GACGAACGCUGGCGGCGUGCUUAACACAUGCAAGUCGAACGAUGAAGCCGGAGCUUGCUCUGGUGAAUUAGUGGCGAACGGGUGAGUAACACGUGAGUAACCUGCCCUUGACUCUGGGAUAACUGCGGGAAACUGUAGCUAAUACCGGAUACGACCCUCGGAGGCAUCUCCUGGGGGUGGAAAGAAUUUCGGUCAAGGAUGGACUCGCGGCCUAUCAGCUAGUUGGUGAGGUAAAGGCUAACCAAGGCGACGACGGGUAGCCGGCCUGAGAGGGUGACCGGCCACACUGGGACUGAGACACGGCCCAGACUCCUACGGGAGGCAGCAGUGGGGAAUAUUGCACAAUGGGCGCAAGCCUGAUGCAGCAACGCCGCGUGAGGGAUGACGGCCUUCGGGUUGUAAACCUCUUUUAGCAGGGAAGAAGCGAAAGUGACGGUACCUGCAGAAAAAGCACCGGCUAACCACGUGCCAGCCGCCGCUGUAA
rnacentral:rRNA from 1 species